rnacentral:lncRNA from 1 species
GAUCUCAGGUAGAGAUUUAUUUCUUUUUUUAAUUCAGUGAAUUUUAUUAUAUUUAUAGUUGUACAGCCAUCAUCACAACUUAAUUUUAUAGCAUUUUCGUCCCAAACCCCAGCCCAUCCCUCCCUGCAACCUAUCUCCUUUGGUAACUGUAAGUUUUUCAAAGUCUGUGAGUCCAUUUCUGUUCUGCAAAUAAGUUUGUUGUAUCCUUUUUUUAGAUUCCACAUGUAAGUGAUCACAUAUGAUGUUUGUGUUUCGCUGUCUGACUAACUUCACUUAGCAUGAUAAUUUCUAGGUCCAUCCAUGUUGCUGCAAAUGCCAUUAUUUCAUUCCUUUUUAUGGCUGAGUAAUAUUCCAUUGUGUGUAUGUACCACAUCUUCCUUAUCUACUCCUUCGUUGAUGGACAUUUAGGUUGCUUCCAUGUUUUGGCUAUUGUAUAUAGUGCUGCGAUGAAUAUGGAGGGUCCAUGUAUCUUUUUGAGUCAUGGUNGGAGGGUCCAUGUAUCUUUUCGAGUCAUGGUUUUCUCCAGAUAGAUGCCCGGGAGUGAGAUUGCUGGGUCAUAUGGUAAUUUUACUUUUAGUUUUUUUGGAGGAGAUUGAUUUCUUAAGGCUGGCUAAUUCAUCCAUGAAUAUGGACUGAGUGCCUACUAUGUAAUGGGCACUCUUCCAAGUGCUGCAGAUAUAUCAGUGAACAACAGAAAAAUGCUUUUGUGGAGCUUACUGCUAGCCAGUAUAAUUCAUCAUUACUUUUUAGGCAUGCCUGUCCAAGUGCAUGCCAGAUAGUUUAUUUUUUACUGAAACUCAGAAAUUUCAUCUGAAAUCAUCAAAUUAUGUAUAGCUUUUAUUUUAUGAAUGAAUGAGCAUGUUAUAUCCUAGAACUUAGGCUUUGGGAUUUUGGAAAUUUUUCUCCUAGUUGUUUCCUUGAUUGUUGAUCUUUCCCCAUCUGGCCCAUCCCCCACUUUCGUUCCUUCCGGAAUGCCUGGAUUUGCCCUCCAUGCCUCAUACCUUUACUUGCCCAAGUCUGUAUAUUUGCUGAAAAACAAAGAACUGAGCAUGGCCAACUUGAGAGGUUCUUCCAGAAUGUUGUGCAGAAACAAAACAGGGUUUCUAUUCAGCGAUUUGGUUUUGUUGUUGUUCUUACUGUUGUGUUUUAAACCUUAGGGAUUUAGGAAUUCAAGACAAUAUUCCUAUCUCUUCCUCUUCUUGGUUAACAACCAACCAAGUUUUUCCCAUAAAACUUGCACACUCCCGUUUUAUUGUUAUUAUUUCAAAUAUCUUUUUUACUUGCAGAUUGUUUUUCGUCUGUAGCCAUGUGUUCUUGUUUUAACAUGAGAGGAUUUUCACACGUCUCACUCAUGCUACGAAUUUUUUUCUAAGUUCUUUCUUUUCUGCCCGGUUUUUUACUGGGCCAGUAGAUAUGAUUUCUCAUGCUUGUUCCCUUUCUCCAAGCUCUGACAUUUUCCAUAUUACUUGCUUUCUUUGUUUGCUCAUGGCUGUGAGUAAGGGUUUGGCAUAUCACUGUUCCUAGCUGAUAUAGGUUCUAACAGAGUUCUGCCUCCUCACUGAACAGCAGAUUAGGUAUCUUCUUAGGAAGGUUAGCACAGGUAUAAGUAUAGCACAGGUUAGCACAGGUAUAAGUAUAGCACAGGUUAGCACAGGUAUAAGUAUAGCACAGGUGAGCUGGCCAGCCCAUACUCUUAAGCAAGGUAAGACUCAUGGAGACAUGAGGCAGAGAUCUUUCAACAUGGGAUAAAUACUGGAAGUUCUGAGGUGAGGCCCUCC